CUCAGAAAAUCUUACACUGAAGGCAACAGCAACUUUACACAGCUAAGGACUGAGUGAAUGAGAUUUUCAAGCUGGAGACUGGGAUAAGUAAUAAAGGUUCCUCUCACACAACUUCUGAGAAAUAGAGCCAAAACCGAGAUGCCAAACUGCUGGUGUGAUACAGUGUGCUUGGGAGGCACCAGCCAGCCUUGGAGCAUGAGGGUGAAGCUGACAGGACCAGUGGGGUCUUGAUUGCAGGCUCGUGACCGUGCCCUUACAGCACAAGAGCUGCAGCAGUGACAGUCCAAGGAUAACAGAGGUAAUAUUUUUUAUUAGACUGACUAAUACAAUUGAAAAAAGUGGAUAAACAUUUGGGUUUAAGAUAAGGGGAUUCUGAGCCCAAAACUUUGCCUGAGUUUACUGGUAAGAUCAGGUCAAGAUCUUACGGGCCCCCAAAGGUCUGUAAGACUUGACGAGAUCUUAUCAGGAGCCUAACAGACUCCUAAAACAUAGUCUGCUAAGCUCAGUAAGCCCAUCAGUAAUGCAAGGUUUCAAGUGGGAUCCAAAAAGGCACUUUAAUACCUGAAGCAGGACUUGGACAGGUCAGAGGUACCUCAGCAAAAACCUGUGAUCCAAGAGAUUCCACUCAGGUGGUAUUGAGGGCUGGGGGUGCUCACCUUUGAAUUUUAAUUUUCACUGAGGAACUUGAAGUUCCUUGUGUAACAAACCCUCCCACCCUGUAACUGAGAAGCUGGUGCACUUUGGGAGGUGGGAAGAUGUAGAGUGGAAACCUUUAAAGCCUGCAUUAUAAAUGGAGCAAAAUGAACCCUACUCAGUUCAGAUGGCAGGUGCCUCUCCUCAAGACACUAACCUGGGAUAUGCCUCUGCUCUGAAAAAAUUGGGAGUUUGCACCAACCUGUGUGUUCAGCAUUGGUUACCAUGAGACAGCCACCCCCUUGAAACGAUGCAAUGGUGCAGAGGAAGAUGUAAGUGCAUGGUGCCAGCUCCUCAAUGCUGCUGUAAGGUUCAGGUGCUACUUUCUAAGUGUAGAAGUCUUCAGUUUGUCCUGUUUUUAGCCAGGAACCACAAUCCGCAGGCAAAAUCAGGGAGAAAAGAGAACUGAAAAAAAAGCUGAGUGUAUCCUCUUUGAGAAGCGUUUUACUAAUUAUGGACCUAUUCCAGGAGAUUUCCUACAGAUUUGCUGUGACUUCAGUGUUAUUAACCUAUUUUUCUCCUUUGGAGCUCUGCUCCUUCAUCCUUAAAUUAGCUUGUGACCUAACAAAGCGUUUAAGCAUGUGCAACUUUAUCCAUGGAAGGGUUUCCACUGACUUCAGCAGAACCACUCGGGUGUUGGAGGCAGCGUUGUUGCCUCAGUGAUCUGCUGGAGCCGCCUUACACACCGGGGACAGUGUCAUACAUAAUACUUAGAUUGAAUGGGAGGGGAAGAGGGAGCAUUUCUAACAUGAUUACAGUCAGAUUUCCUUUUAUGUUCUGCAGAGGAAAAUAGUAUGCAAAUACUCCACGUGCCUACAUGGAUUCAAAAUUCCUUUCCUCUUUUUUUGAUCUCCCUAAUUCUGACAAACAAGUUGCCCACGGUUUCUGAAGAGAAACUCUCCCCGAGGCGUUGGGCCACGGGCAUUUUUUGAGGGGUACAGUGGGUCUAGACAGACCCCCGUUUGCCUGGUUCUGGCUACACUUUCCCACUCCAGCACUCUUCCUCCAGUUGCACCUCAGUGGAGAUGAGGUGAAUUGCGUCUGGGAACUAAGCCAGGAUAAAAAUAACUGAGGUGGGGAGGGUGCUAUUUUUUUAAGCAGUUUCCUGGUCUGUUUGUCAACAUAACGGCACAAAAAGCUGCACCAGCACAGCAGAGGGAGAAUAACCGUCUGGUCCAUCAAAGUGCUGCCACCAAAAACGGUGUCCGCAAAACGCAGCCAUAUCUCCUUGGCGUUGCUGCACCAGCAAGGUGCAAAGUCCUUUGGGAAGUCCAUAGUGUCCUGUUCCCAGCUCCAGCUUGUGCUGUGUGUUCCUGUCUCUGUGCUGGAUCCUGCUGCCCCCUCUGCCGUGCUGACAUACCUCUUUGUGUGUCCACAUCUCAGUCAAAUCCUGGGAGCAAUCUAGAUUGAGCCAAAGUAUUCUUCUUCUGGGCUAACUUUCAUCUGGUUCCCAGCUCCAGCUCCAGCACACACACCGUGCCAGCCUGGCAUGGGGAUUGCACACAAGGGAAAGAGGAGGGUCACCAGGCCAAACUUGUUCAGGCAGAUUGCAGAGCAGACAUAACUUGGAGUAUCCAAACAAAAUUAGUUUAUACAGCCCUCACUACCCAUCAGAGUUAACACUUUAUCCAGCUUGGGUGUUACCAAACAAGUUAUGUUUCUUUAAAAAGGAGCCUGUGCAGCAGUGGGGUAAAAUGUUAGGACUUAAUCAACAACAGAGGAGAUUUAAUCCAUGAAAUAGAUAGCAGCUAACAAGCAAGCUCUAAGCUCUAAGCUUUCUAACACAUGUCUAUGUGUUAGAAAAAAACAAAUUAAAGUUUAGGGCUCUCAGACCUGGGGGAGGAAGUAUGGCUUGGGAUGUACCAUUGAUAAUGAACACGAAAGAAUGCAGAAUUUAUGGCCAACCAGGACAUUUGGCAGGACUUUCAAGACAAGGAAGAAACUAAUAAAACCCACUCAGUAAUUGUGCUGAAAUCAGCUCCAAGUGGGUAAAAGGUAAUUUUGGUAGGGGGAUCCACGACCACCGACUCAAGAAAUCCCCCUGACCCAAAAGAAGAGAGAAACUGAGCAUGUGGACUAAUUAGCAUGUGGACUAAUUAGCAUGAGAAGCAAGAGAAUCAUUAACCAAUAGAAGACUAAUUAAUAAGAGAGCUAUGUAACUUGUAACCAAUGAACACUAAUUCCUUUGUUUACCAAAAUGUAUUAAUAGUCAAAAGUUUUGAUAACUGAUGUACAUAUUUUGUGGAGUGAUCCUCCUGUACCUCAGUGUUGAAUAAAG